AUGUACACAGUGAAUUUCACAACACCUUUAUAAGUAACAAUUAAUGUAUUAACUACUACUACUAAUAAAAUGAUCCCUGCCCGAACGCACGCGCUAUGCAGUGAAGCCGCUCCCGGUCCCUGUGCAAAUUCCUCGGGAUAUUACGCAGCAUUCCCGCUUUCCGCGCGCAGGAAAGUGGGUAUUCCCCCAAAAGCCGGAUUAUUCCAAUAAGCACAAAGCGCACGCACUGGUACAGAACCGCGCAGGGAAGAAGCAGCUCGAGCUCAGGAGUGUAAAGAGUUCGUGCUCUUACCGAUCUGUGAUCACGAUUGUCUUUACGGAGCAGCGUCCCAGAACAUCCCGAACACACCGAGGAAUGUCAGUCCGCCUCGCCUCGCCUCGCAAUCAGCCGUUCCUUGGCCGGGUGUAACAGGAUGUGUGGAGUUUCACCGUGUCUUCAUGAUGGGGAACGCGAAUGGAAAGUCGGACAGGGGCGGCUGUGGCUCAGGUGGUAGGGCGGGUUGUCCACUGACCGUAGGCUUGGCGGUCCGAUUCCCGGCCCACAUGACUCCACAUGCCGAAGUGUCCUUGGGCAAGACACUGAACCCCAAGUUGCUCCCGA
ensembl:lncRNA